rnacentral:rRNA from 1 species
CACGUAGGCACCAAGCGUUGUCCGGAUUUAUUGGGCGUAAAGAGCUCGUAGGCGGUUCAGUAAGUCGGGUGUGAAAACUCUGGGCUCAACCCAGAGACGCCACCCGAUACUGCUGUGACUUGAGUACGGUAGGGGAGUGGGGAAUUCCUGGUGUAGCGGUGAAAUGCGCAGAUAUCAGGAGGAACACCAGUGGCGAAGGCGCCACUCUGGGCCGUAACUGACGCUGAGGAGCGAAAGCAUGGGGAGCGAACAGG